rnacentral:lncRNA from 1 species
CCGCAAGCAGAAGAAGGAGCAGGCCACCUUCGAGGACGGCUCCAAGAAGCCCAACACCAAGCUGCAGAAGCGCCUCGACGGCCUGAUGGUGAGUGUGGGGAACAAGGACAAGAGGUUUUCACUGUGCCGAGGCUCUGUGCCUUCCCCCCUGCUCUUCCCCUCCCCGCCCGCAAGUGCACAGCUUCAGCACCAUGCUCUGCGCUGCAAACUGCUGCCUGUGUGUGUGCGGGUGCUCCCUUGAGGCAGCAUGCACGGGGCACUUGCGAGUGAAAUGAGGUUUGAGGUGUUGGUUCGCACCCUCACCCCCGUCAUUUCCUGCCACUCUCGUUCGCCCUGGACGGCGUGCAUGCUGGUAUGAGUGUCCUACGCAUGUGUUGCCCCUUGAGCACGGCAUGUCGGGUCCAGCGUGCGUUGCUGCAGGUGCCGGGGAACAAACCUAACCCACUUUCUACCCAGGCCCUGCUACCAUACUUCCAGCCCUGCACCCCGUGCUUUGGGCAGAGUGCUAUGGUGGGGCCGGAAAGGAUGUGAGCGCGGGGGGUGGCAAAGGCGGAGGUGCCUGGGGAUUCACACCAUCCCCUUGAGACCAACCAAAACUUCAUAAUGCUUUCAUCGUGCAUAGCACAGCAGCUCAUGCACAUCAUGCAUCUAGUAGGCACAUGCAGGAUGCCAGCGGGUGUCUCCUCCUGUCCCUCCACCUCAUACGCACAUGGUGAUCUAUGUGCAUGUCUUCCUCCUUGCCUUGCGAGUGUUUUUUUUUCCUCUGUAACCAGAUGGGCUUGACCAUGCACAUUUGCGUACUGCAGAUGGAGGGCAAUCUCAUUUCAAAACAGGAUUUCCACUGAGUGCCCUGCCCUGUCCCAUUUCACUUGCAGAGGGUGAUUGAGGACACAUCCAAGCCCCACCAGACUCGCCUCAACAGCGCCAAGAAGUAUGCUGAGGCCAUGAGGACCAGGAAAUCAGCAAACCUGAAGCAGGAGGUGCRAGCAYAGAUGCAUGGGAUUUGUCUUUCCUCUGCUUGACCCAGCUCUGGCCCUCUGAACAACUCUCAUGUUACUAAAACAUGUCCCCAUCCAUGCGUGCAGAUUGACCCAGAGGCCUUGGUCCGAGAGAAGUCCGGUGGCCAGGCUAACUAGUGGGCC